GGGGAUGUAGCUCAAAUGGUAGAGCGCUUGUUUUGCAUGCGAGAGGCACGGGGUUCGAUCCCCCGCAUCUCCA
rnacentral:tRNA from 1 species